AAUGCACUCAAACCAAGCCCUUACGAGAACUUGACUCAUAAUCCCGGCUCAAACAAGACUUGAUUAAGUUAAAGUCACAAAGAACAUAUUCGUAACAUCCAUAGAUAUAUUCAAAAUAGAGCAUGAUAAAGCGAGCAAACUGAAACAUGGGAUUGAAUGAGCGACAAGACCGAUCACACAACAAUCAUUUUGAUUCAGCCUCGAGAUUAGAAAA
rnacentral:lncRNA from 1 species